UGGGACCCACACCAGGUAGAGUUUACUAGA
rnacentral:piRNA from 1 species